rnacentral:misc_RNA from 1 species
GAUGAAGAACGUAGCGAAAUGCGAUAAGUGAUGUGAAUUGCAGAAUUCAGUGAAUCAUCGAAUCUUUGAACGCACAUUGCGCCCGCCAGUAUUCUGGCGGGCAUGCCUGUUCGAGCGUCAUUUCAACCAUCAAGCCCCCGGCUUGUGUUGGGGACCUGCGGCUGCCGCAGGCCCUUAAAAGCAGUGGCGGGCUCGCUGUCACACCGAGCGUAGUAGCAUACAUCUCGCUCUGGGCGUGCUGCGGGUUCCGGCCGUUAAACCACCUUCAUAACCCAAGGUUGACCUCGGAUCAGGUAGGAAGACCCGCUGAACUUAAGCAUAUCAAUAAGCGGAGGA